UGGGGAAUUUUGGACAAUGGGCGAAAGCCUGAUCCAGCCAUGCCGCGUGAGUGAAGAAGGCCUUCGGGUUGUAAAGCUCUUUUAGUCGGAAAGAAAGAGUUGCAAUGAAUAAUUGUGAUUUAUGACGGUACCGACAGAAAAAGCACCGGCUAACUACGUGCCAGCAGCCGCGGUAAUACGUAGGGUGCGAGCGUUAAUCGGAAUUACUGGGCGUAAAGGGUGCGCAGGCGGUCUUGCAAGUCAGAUGUGAAAGCCCCGGGCUUAACCUGGGAAGUGCGUUUGAAACUACAGGGCUAGAGUGCAGCAGAGGGGAGUGGAAUUCCAUGUGUAGCAGUGAAAUGCGUAGAGAUGUGGAAGAACACCGAUGGCGAAGGCAGCUCCCUGGGUUGACACUGACGCUCAUGCACGAAAGCGUGGGGAGCAAACA
rnacentral:rRNA from 1 species